GAUGAACGCUGGCGGCGUGCCUAAUACAUGCCAGUCGAGCGAACGGACGAGAAGCUUGCUUUUCUGAUGUUAGCGGCGGGCGGGUGAGUAACACGUGGAUAACCUACCUAUAAGACUGGGAUAACUUCGGGAAACCGGAGCUAAUACCGGAUAAUAUUUUGAACCGCAUGGUUCAAAAGUGAAAGACGGUCUUGCUGUCACUUAUAGAUGGAUCCGCGCUGCAUUAGCUAGUUGGUAAGGUAACGGCUUACCAAGGCAACGAUGCAUAGCCGACCUGAGAGGGUGAUCGGCCACACUGGAACUGAGACACGGUCCAGACUCCUACGGGAGGCAGCAGUAGGGAAUCUUCCGCAAUGGGCGAAAGCCUGACGGAGCAACGCCGCGUGAGUGAUGAAGGUCUUCGGAUCGUAAAACUCUGUUAUUAGGGAAGAACAUAUGUGUAAGUAACUGUGCACAUCUUGACGGUACCUAAUCAGAAAGCCACGGCUAACUACGUG
rnacentral:rRNA from 1 species